UCCUAUUUCCUGGGAAUUCUGUGCACGGAAGCUGAUUUCAGUUGGUGCUAGAUAGAAGUCGGCGUUCUAGCACCAUAUGAAAUCAGUUAUCGGUGCAUAGGCAAGCAUCUGUGUUGGCCU
rnacentral:pre_miRNA from 16 species